UGCUGUGCAAAGAUGGCGUCUUUCGCAGUUCGCAGCUCCGCACGCUUGAUCACAGUUGCCGUGUCCUCCUGCCUCACACGAGCCUGUCCAGCUCUCAUCUCCUGCCCGAAUGGAGCCUACAGGAGCUUCUCAAAGUUGUCAGGCCGGCAGAUGUGGGCGGCAGGUGGCAGGAUUGGAGGGAGAGACGGGACUGCGGUGACAUUGAGCGGCAUGACAAGAACGGGCCCUCCUCACAUCACCUGUAAGCUGUCGUUCCACACCAGUGCUCCUUUUAAUAAACAAGACUUCUACCAGAUCCUUGGAGUUUCACGUACAGCCACACAGAAGGACAUUAAGAAAGCUUAUUACCAGAUGGCAAAGAAAUAUCAUCCUGACACUAACAAAGACGACCCACAAGCCAAGGAGAAGUUUGCACAGCUGGCCGAGGCCUACGAGGUGCUUAGCGAUGAGGGGAAGAGGAAACAGUAUGACACGUAUGGUUCUGCUGGGUUUGAUGCGGGUCAGGCUGGCGCCGGUCAUCAGCAGUACUGGAGCGGAGGGGCGAGCGUCAACCCAGAGGAGCUUUUCCGCAAGAUCUUCGGAGAGUUUUCUGGAGCACGAGGAUUCGGUGAUUUCAACGGCGUCUUCAAUCAGCCAAAAGAGUAUGUUAUGGAGUUGACGUUUGCUCAGGCUGCCAAAGGUGUGAAUAAGGACAUUACGGUGAACAUCGAGGGCACGUGCCAGCGCUGUGAUGGCAGAGGACACGAGCCUGGAUGUAAAGUCCAGCACUGCGACAACUGCAACGGGACGGGCAUGGAAACGGUGAAUACGGGGCCGUUUGUGAUGCGCUCCACCUGUCGGCGUUGUGGCGGACGGGGCUCGGUCAUUACGUCGCCGUGCACGGCGUGUCGAGGGACGGGUCAGACCAAACAGAGGAGGACCGUCACAGUCCCAGUACCUGCAGGUAUUGAGGAGGGACAGACUGUCAGAAUGCCGGUGGGGAAGACGGAGAUUUUCAUUACGUUCAGGGUCCAGAAGAGUCCGAUCUUCAGGAGAGAGGGCGCUGACAUUCAUUCUGAUGUCAUGAUCUCUGUCGCUCAGGCCAUACUGGGCGGGACGGUCCGAGCACAAGGAUUACACGAGACCAUCAACCUCUCGAUCCCAGCUGGAAUCCAGACCGACCAGAGGAUCCGGUUGUCCGGUAAAGGAAUCCCGCGGGUCAGCGGCUAUGGUUACGGCGACCACUACGUCCACAUGAAGAUCAGAAUCCCCAAGAUGUUGACCGACAGACAGAGAGCGCUCUUGAUGAGCUACGCAGAGGACGAGACGGAUGUUGAGGGAACCGUCAACGGCGUGACCAGCACCACUGCAGGAGGGGGGCAGUAAACAGACUGAGACAGGGCAGAACAGGCCAGACGAGGGGCAUGAACAUAGAGACGAGGGCUUUUUCUCCAACGUUAAAGAGAAUGUAUAGCUCUUCCUGACAGCCACAGACCAGGCAAAAGAUCCACUGGAAGUUGAGAGAUGAGGCCUUGCUAGCGCAGAUUUAUGUCAACUGCACAAUCUGAAGACAUACAGACAGGACAACACAAGACUUCUGCUGUGGACCAGUCACGUAUCGAACUCACCUGCUCAGAAACUGUGAAUGAAAACUAUGAGGAGAUCUUAUUAUUGACGUUUAAGAGAACGUCCCUACAAACCCCAGAGGAAGAUGACCACACAUAUAUACUUACCAGAGCCGUACGAUAUCAGACGUAACGCCAAUUUCUACAAUAGCUCUCAUCUUUGGUAUGAUUGUUUCCCAGGUUAAAGGUUAUACUUAAAUAUGUUUUGGAAAAUCUGAUUAUGAUUCUCAAAUAGAGAAAUGCCCCGGUAACAUCUAUAAAGUCCCAGUUUUUGUGUAUCGGUGGUCAAGAGUGCCUAUAGAUUGCUGCUGAUAAUGCAGGUAAUAUUUAGGGUCAGCUAAUAUUGGUGUUCAUGCUAGGCGCAUUCUAUGCGAUACAACACUGACCGUUAUAUUUAAUCCAUCUGCCUCAUUAGUAUUGUACAUAGACAGCUGUUGAUAUUAAAACAUUUAAUGUGCUGUAAAAAUAAUUCUGGAAUAAUUAAUAAAAGAUCAUGUAUGUGGUUUUUGGAUGUAUGGAGUGUGGUGGAAAUAAUAUAGUUUAAUUGACGAUAAAAUAUUAA